UACGUAGGGUGCAAGCGUUGUCCGGAAUUAUUGGGCGUAAAGAGCUCGUAGGCGGUUUGUCGCGUCUGCCGUGAAAACUCACAGCUCAACUGUGGGCGUGCGGGCGAUACGGGCAGACUGGAGUACUGCAGGGGAGACUGGAAUUCCUGGUGUAGCGGUGGAAUGCGCAGAUAUCAGGAGGAACACCGGUGGCGAAGGCGGGUCUCUGGGCAGUAACUGACGCUGAGGAGCGAAAGCGUGGGGAGCGAACAGG
rnacentral:rRNA from 1 species